UACGGAGGAUUCAAGCGUUAUCCGGAUUUAUUGGGUUUAAAGGGUGCGUAGGCGGAUUGAUAAGUUAGAGGUGAAAUGUCCGAGCUCAACUCGGGAACUGCCUCUAAUACUGUUGAUCUAGAGAGUAGAUGCGGUAGGCGGAAUGUAUGGUGUAGCGGUGAAAUGCUUAGAGAUCAUACAGAACACCGAUUGCGAAGGCAGCUUACCAAUCUAUAUCUGACGUUGAGGCACGAAAGCGUGGGGAGCAAACAGG
rnacentral:rRNA from 1 species